GCCCCCGUAGCAUCACAUCAAAAUUGAUUUUAAAAAAAAUGUGUAAGUAAUAACUUACAGUUAAAUAUCGAUGUGUGCAAAAAUUUGGACAAUAACAAUACUAAAUAAUAUUAGGGCAAAGUGCCUUUGGCCUUUUUAGCAUUGAGGGUAUGUACUUAGGACAAGAACUUUAACUCCAUUUGCACCACAUCAUACAUGGCACUACUUCGGCAUGCCCCAUCAGGGCUAUGUAUAUACGUCAGCAUCAUUUAUGAAGCUAAAUUUCCUGUCCAUAAUUACAACAAAACAAAUAGCCUUAACACUCAACAGGCCAAAGUACAGAUAAUAAAGUGUACUUUGCCCAUAAUAUUAUCUUAAAUACGUCUUGGCUUCCAGCAGCUCAAACUCCAAUAUACACACAUAGACA
rnacentral:misc_RNA from 1 species